rnacentral:rRNA from 1 species
GACGAACGCUGGCGGCGUGCUUAACACAUGCAAGUCGAACGGUGAAGCGCCUUCCUUUUUCGUGGGUGUGGAUGAGUGGCGAACGGGUGAGUAACACGUGAGUAACCUGCCCCCUUCUUCUGGAUAACCGCAUGAAAGUGUGGCUAAUACGGGAUAUUCUGGGUCUGUCGCAUGAUGGGUCUGGGAAAGAUAUUGUUUCGGUGGGGGAUGGGCUCGCGGCCUAUCAGCUUGUUGGUGGGGUGAUGGCCUACCAAGGCGGUGACGGGUAGCCGGCCUGAGAGGGUGGACGGUCACACUGGGACUGAGACACGGCCCAGACUCCUACGGGAGGCAGCAGUGGGGAAUAUUGCACAAUGGGCGCAAGCCUGAUGCAGCGACGCCGCGUGAGGGAUGGAGGCCUUCGGGUUGUGAACCUCUUUCGCCAGUGAAGCAGGCCUGCCUCGUUUGUGGGUGGGUUGACGGUAGCUGGAUAAGAAGCGCCGGCUAACUACGUG